rnacentral:rRNA from 1 species
UGGGUCUUUACUGACGCUGAGGCACGAAAGCGUGGGGAGCAAACAGGAUUAGAUACCCUGGUAGUCCACGCCGUAAACGAUGAGUACUAAGUGUCGGGUAAAACUGGUACUGAAGUUAACACAUUAAGUACUCCGCCUGAGUAGUACGUACGCAAGUAUGAAACUUAAAGGAAUUGACGGGACUCCGCACAAGCGGUGGAUCAUGUUGUUUAAUUCGAAGAUACACGAAAAACCUUACCAGGUCUUGACAUUUUCUUGUGAAGUUAUAGAAAUAUAAUGGAGGUUAUCAGGAAAACAGGUGGUGCAUGGUUGUCGUCAGCUCGUGUCGUGAGAUGUUAGGUUAAGUCUUAAAACGAGCGCAACCCUUGUCGUUAAUUGCCAGCAUGUAAUGAUGGGGACUUUAACGAGACUGCCAAUGAAAAAUUGGAGGAAGGUGGGGAUUACGUCAAAUCAUCAUGCCCCUUAUGAUCUGGGCUACAAACGUGAUACAAUGGUUGAUACAAAGAGUAGCUGAAACGCGAGUUCUUAGCCAAUCUCAAAAAAUCAAU